GGGGAAAAGCUCAAAUUUUAAAUCUGCUAGGUUUUACCUGUCAGAAUUGUAAUUUGAAGAGGCGUUUUCCGCGUCUCGGUUGGCCCAAAUUCUUUGGGAUGAGGUAUCAUGGAGGGUGAGAA
rnacentral:rRNA from 1 species